rnacentral:snRNA from 1 species
AUACCUUUCUCGGCCUUUUGGCUAAGAUCAAAUGUAGUAUCUGUUCUUAUCAGUUUAAUAUCUGAUAUGUUGGUCAUUGGCCCACACGAUAUUAACUUUAUUUUUUAAGGGCAGAAGUCCGUCAAGAUAGCUUGCUAUUUGGAUUUACACGAGUCGCCCAUGCGCUGCACUAAUGCAUGGGCGUGGCUCAACCCGC